rnacentral:rRNA from 1 species
UACGUAGGUGGCAAGCGUUGUCCGGAAUUAUUGGGCGUAAAGCGCGCGCAGGUGGUUUCUUAAGUCUGAUGUGAAAGCCCACGGCUCAACCGUGGAGGGUCAUUGGAAACUGGGGAACUUGAGUGCAGGAGAGAAGAGUGGAAUUCCACGUGUAGCGGUGAAAUGCGUAGAGAUGUGGAGGAACACCAGUGGCGAAGGCGGGUCUCUGGACAGUUCCUGACGCUGAGGCACGAAGGCCAGGGAGCAAACGGG